rnacentral:rRNA from 1 species
AUUGAACGCUGGCGGCAGGCUUAACACAUGCAAGUCGAACGAGUGGCGGACGGGUGAGUAAUGCUUGGGAAUCUGGCUUAUGGAGGGGGAUAACGACGGGAAACCGUCGCUAAUACCGCGUACCAUAGGAUGAGCCCAAGUGGGAUUAGGUGGUUGGUGGGGUAAUGGCCUACCAAGCCGAGGAUCUCUAGCUGGUCUGAGAGGAUGACCGGCAACACGGGGACUGGGAAACGGCCCGGACUCCUAGGGGGGGCGGCAGUGGGGAAUAUUGGAAAAUGGGCGAAGGCCUGAUGCAGCCAUGCCGCGUGUGUGAGGAAGGUCUUCGGAUGGUAAGGGACGUUUGUCAGGGAAGCGGUACCUGAAGAAUAAGCACCGGCUAACUACGUGCCAGCAGCCGCGGUAAUAC